rnacentral:rRNA from 1 species
AUUGAACGCUGGCGGCAUGCCUUACACAUGCAAGUCGAACGGCAGCACGGGGCAACCUGGUGGCGAGUGGCGAACGGGUGAGUAAUGCAUCGGAACGUACCUUUCAGUGGGGGAUAACGUAGCGAAAGUUACGCUAAUACCGCAUAUUCUGUGAGCAGGAAAGCAGGGGAUCGCAAGACCUUGCGCUGAUUGAGCGGCCGAUGUCAGAUUAGCUAGUUGGUGAGGUAAAGGCUCACCAAGGCGACGAUCUGUAGCGGGUCUGAGAGGAUGAUCCGCCACACUGGAGAUGAGACACGGUCCAGACUCCUACGGGAGGCAGCAGUGGGGAAUUUUGGACAAUGGGGGCAACCCUGAUCCAGCCAUGCCGCGUGAGUGAAGAAGGCCUUCGGGUUGUAAAGCUCUUUCGGCCGGGAAGAAAUCGCACGGGCUAAUACCCUGUGUGGAUGACGGUACCGGAAUAAGAAGCACCGGCUAACUACGUGCCAGCAGCCGCCGUAAAAC